CCUACGGGAGGCAGCAGUGAGGAAUAUUGGUCAAUGGACGAGAGUCUGAACCAGCCAAGUAGCGUGAAGGAUGACCGCCCUAUGGGUUGUAAACUUCUUUUAUAUGGGAAUAAAAUGUUCCACGUGUGGGCUUUUGUAUGUACCAUAUGAAUAAGGAUCGGCUAACUCCGUGCCAGCAGCCGCGGUAAUACGGAGGAUCCGAGCGUUAUCCGGAUUUAUUGGGUUUAAAGGGAGCGUAGGUGGAUUGUUAAGUCAGUUGUGAAAGUUUGCGGCUCAACCGUAAAAUUGCAGUUGAAACUGGCAGUCUUGAGUACAGUAGAGGUGAGCGGAAUUCGUGGUGUAGCGGUGAAAUGCUUAGAUAUCACGAAGAACUCCGAUUGCGAAGGCAGCUCACUGGACUGCAACUGACACUGAGGCUCGAAAGUGUGGGUAUCAAACAGGAUUAGAUACCCGAGUAGUC
rnacentral:rRNA from 1 species